AGAAUGCUCCAUCUAAUGAUGUUAUUGAUCUAAAAUCCUUAAGAAUUACCAGUGCCAGUCCAUCACAACCUUGGAAUCUACCAAUGAGGAACAGCUUUACCUCUUAUGCAAAACCAUUACCAGCUGUACCCAAGAUAAAAUCUCAAUAAUAUUUGGAUGAAAAUUAUUUUGAAAUGACUCUGAGUAAGAAACUUUUAGAAAUAGAAGUAUUUAUAUUAAUAUAUAUUUUAAAUACAAGCCUCGGUGUUGUUCUCACCUAUCAUGUACAAGAAGAACAAAAUCCCGGUACCUAUGUCGGAGAUAUUGCUGCCAAUACCAAAUUUGUGGACAGUUUUCCACCACAAGGCCAUAAUCUUAUUACUUUUAGUCAAUUACAUGAAAGUCUGACUGGAAAUGCUCAGUUGUUCAAUGUCUCCAAAAUAGGGAAGUUAUACACCGGCAAAACUUUGGACUCAGAGUCACUUUGUAAAUACAGAAGGGAAUGUUUUAGAAUGAUAGAAAUUGCUGUCCGACAUGAAGAAUCAUUUGUGAAAAUUAUUGAAAUCAAAAUCAUUGUUGAAGAUAUUAAUGAUAACGAGCCAAUAUUUCCAAAUAAAAUGAUUAAUCUCCAAUUUGACGAAACAGACGGGAAAGGAACUACAAAAUCUAUUCCCAGUGCUGUUGAUAAAGAUGUAGGAAUUUUAAAUUCUCAGAUUACUUAUGUUCUUCAAAAAGAUGAAAAUGCUCCUUUUGAGCUAUCAGUUUUGAAAAGAAUGGUUGGCACUGAGAAACUUGAUAUCGUUCUCAAAAGCAAACUUGACAGAGAAACGAAAGAUGUUUAUACAAUACAAGUCAUUGCUAAAGAUGGUGGAACUCCCCCUAGGGAAGGUAUUUUAAAUGUUCAGAUAUCGGUUACAGAUGUGAAUGAUAAUGCACCUAUCUUUUCUCAGAAUAUUUACAAUGUCUCAGUUGAAAACGCAAAUGACAUAGAAUCUCCUAUUCUUAUUUUAUCUGCCAAAGAUUUAGACACAGAUAAAAACGGUGCUGUUUCAUAUUAUUUGAAUUCUGAAACAACAGAUCUGGCAAAAUCAUACUUUGAACUCAAUGAAGUCACUGGGGAGCUUUUUUUAAGUAAGAAAAUUCCACUGAAGAGAAGACAAACAUAUAAAUUAUAUGUAGAAGCAAAAGACGGGGGUGAACCAUCUUUAAAUUCAAUAGCAAUGGUUUAUGUAAACAUUAUUAACCAGCAGAAUAAUGCACCAAGGAUUGAUGUAAAAUUUGUUUCCAAAUCAAAAGAUAAUUCAGCUGUGAUUUCUGAAGGGGUCAAAGUUGGCAGCUUCAUUGCCUAUGUAAAGGUUACUGAUAAUGAUGCUGGAUUGAAUGGAGAAGUUUCUUGUGAUCUUCAGAAUGAUAAAAUACAACUCCAAGAACUUGGCAGAAAGAAAUAUAAAGUUAUUGUCAAGAAUUCCGUCGAUAGAGAGACUGAAGACUAUAUAGACUUUUCAAUUAUUUGUAAAGAUGAAGGCUCACCUUCUCUUCAUACAGAGAGAAGGUUCUCAAUCCAAGUGAUGGAUGUCAAUGAUGUACAGCCACAAUUUACUAAAGAUACAUUCAAAUUUCUAACCUAUGAGAAUGAGAAAGAAAACUUUCCAGUUGGUUAUAUUAAUGCAACUGACCCUGAUUUAGGACAGGGAGGUCACCUGACCUAUUCUUUAUUACACAACCAUAAUGAUAUUCUUCCUUUUCAAAUUUCUGACUUUGGAUUUAUUUCAACGACUCAUUCAUUGGACCAUGAACAGCAGGAUAUUUAUGAGUUCAACAUUUUAGUUACAGACAAUGGCAGUCCAGCAUUGAACAGCACUGCUAAUGUGCUUGUUGAAGUUAUUGAUAAAAAUGACAAUGCACCAUAUUUUACAUUUCCUAGUGUUAACCCUUUUAACAUAGAUGUCCAUUACCAUCCGCAGAGUAAGAAUGACGUCACAACAUUAAGAGCUUCUGACAGAGACAGCCAUGUGAAUGCUUUCCUCAGAUAUGAAAUAAUAGGAGGAAACCACAAACAGUUAUUCAUUAUUAAUCCUUAUACUGGAGUAUUGUCUUUCUCUCGUCCAGUUUACCAAAAUGAUGCUGGGUCAUAUGACCUUCAGUUUGUGGUCAGAGACAGUGGGACUCCAGUAUUGUCAGCAACCACCACAGUAUUUCUGACUCUGACGGUCAGCAACAGCACUUCUCAGCUUUACACAGCUCAACACACUGAGUCAGAUGAUAUGAUACAUAUCAGUUUAGUAGUAAUAAUCGUAAUAGCUGCUGUGAUAAUAUCUACAGCUAUUGUAGUCUCUAUAAUAGUCUGCAUUGUUCAAAGACAGAAUCAAAGAGAGGUUCAGUACGGUUACCGGAUUGAUGCAAACAAUGAUUUAGUCGGGGAGAGAAGACACUCAGAAGAUAUUUGUGAACAAAUAUCUCUCAAAUACGAUGCCCCCGUUGCUAUGGAGACUAAUCCAAGUCUCAGCAGAAACCCCCAUACAUCAUCAGUAUUAAAAAGAGGGUUCUAUUCAGGAUAUAAAUCAGGACAAAAUUGGAGAGAUUCUACUUUGGCAAUUCAGCUAAAAUCUUCAGCUGAUGAUACUACACAACUUGACAGCCACAUAUAAUAACUAUGAACAGAGAAAAUAACAAACUUUAAAAUAAAAAGAUUUUAGAGUUAAAAAUGCUGAAGACGAAGGAAGUACCCAAACAGGGAAGGAUUUAACCAAAUAAUUUGCUGGUUCAACUUGGUGUUGAUGUCAAGAUUCAAAACGAUACACUCAUACAAUAUCUGGAAUUUUGUGGAUUAUUACCAGCAGUCACAAUGUAUGGAAAUCUUGAAGGAGGUGGUGUUGGGGAAUCUCCUUGAAUGGUGAAAGGCAAUAAAAGAACUACAGGUGCCCCCACAAGGCCACAAUGACAUCUGGUGUUAACAAGUUAGAGGACUGUGUGAUUAUGGCACCUGACCAUUGCAAAGAAAUGCUUACAGUAUUUUCUCAUAUUAACAAUGGUCAAAAUUGUCUUGAAAGAAACAAUGGAC
rnacentral:misc_RNA from 1 species